rnacentral:rRNA from 1 species
AUUGAACGCUGGCGGCAGGCCUAACACAUGCAAGUCGAGCGAGCUGCGGACGGGUGAGUAAUGUAUGGGGACUGCCCGAUAGAGGGGGAUAACUACUGGCAACGGUGGCUAAUACCGCAUACUAUCGGAUAACCCAUAGGGGAUUAGCUAGUAGGUGGGGUAAAGGCUCACCUAGGCGACGAUCUCUAGCUGGGCUGAGAGGAUGAUCAGCCACACUGGGACUGAGACACGGCCCAUACACCUACGGAGGCAGAAGUGGGAAAUAGUGCACAAUGGGCGCGAGCCUGAUGCAGCGAUGCCGCGUGUAUGAGGAAGGCUGUAGGGGUGUAAAGUACUUUCAGCGAGGAGGCGUUACCCGCAGAAGAAGCACCGGCUAACUCCGUGCCAGCAGCCGCGGUAAUUC